AGGUCGGGAGGCUGCCGGUGGGACGGCGGCCGCGCAUGGACCGGAACCCCCCUGUUUCACGGACUGACCGCCGGGGCCCCGACGGCCGGUCAG
rnacentral:ncRNA from 1 species